rnacentral:rRNA from 1 species
CCUACGGGGGGCAGCAGUGAGGAAUAUUGGUCAAUGGACGCGAGUCUGAACCAGCCAAGUAGCGUGAAGGAUGACUGCCCUAUGGGUUGUAAACUUCUUUUAUAAAGGAAUAAAACGAGGCACGUGUGCCUUUUUGCAUGUACUUUAUGAAUAAGGAUCGGCUAACUCCGUGCCAGCAGCCGCGGUAAUACGGAGGAUCCAAGCGUUAUCCGGAUUUAUUGGGUUUAAAGGGAGCGUAGAUGGGUUGUUAAGUCAGUUGUGAAAGUUCGCGGCUCAACCGUAAAAUUGCCAUUGAUACUGGUAGUCUUGAGUACAGUUGAGGUAGGCGGAAUUCAUGGUGUAGCGGUGAAAUGCUUAGAUAUCACGAAGAACCCCGAUUGCGAAGGCAGCUUACUAAACUAUGACUGACGUUGAUGCUCGAAAGUGUGGGUAGCAAACAGGAUUAGAUACCCGUGUAGUC